GUACGGAAGGCUGCGGCCGCCGCCGCCAGUUCUGCCGCUGCUGUUGUUGCUGCUGCAGUCACGUGGGAGGCCCUUUAAGUUUCCAUAGAGAGGCCUCUCCGGUGUCACAUGAUGGACAUGAUAUAAUGAAACAACAUUGUGGAGAGGAAAGCAUUAGGGGAGCCCACGGCUACAAAAACAAGUGAGUGAGAAGAGGUGGGAGGAAGAGAAACUACGCCACCUCCCCUGCAGCCGAGCCGCACGCAGCAGCUCCCCGCGGGAAGUGGGCGACGCCGGCGGGGGGGAAGGGAGACCCGGUCCCCAGCCCCGGCCGAGGGGACCCCCGCCGCCCACAGCCAAGAGAACAACUUUUAGCCGGCAGCCUCGGCCAGCACUGCACCUGUCUCCGGAGCCUCCAUCGCUCCUCCUGACGAUCAAAGAGGAAUUCUAGAAGACUGUGCUCUACAAAUAUACAUGCGCAUCGUUUUCCCCCCUGCGUCUCGUCCGGAGGAAGGAAAGAAGAAAGGGAUUAAAGCGGCAGCGUGUGUUCAGCCCCAAGCACCUCCAAGCCUUCCUGGAGUGGAACUUCUGCUCAGUUCUUGGAUGGAGGGAUGCAGUAUGACUUUCCUUCGCUUGUUUUCAGGAACUCUUUAACUGGUAAAGAGAGUUUGGGACAUCUUACCAUCUGGAGUUUCUCUGUGCCUUGCUGAUGAUCUGAGCUCAAACCUGCCAGUUUAUGGGAAAAGAGAAGAAAACCUCCUGUAACAUCUGAGUUGCAAAAAUACCUACCUCUCAGAAUUCAGGAGGACCUACUUUGUGGGAGCAAAAAUAGUGAGUCAUACCUGCAAGCUUGGAAACGAGAGUUCACUUGUGCUUCUUCAUCCAGUUGGGAAGUUUCCUAGGCAACCAUUUAUGCAGCAAUUAAAAGAUGAGUUAAGAGCAACUCCGGACCAUGCCCUGUGUUUGCUGUGUGAUCGUGCAGAAAUUAAGAUGACGGUGGAAUGAAGGAGAAAAUGGGAAAAACAGAGGUACCUUUAAUGGAACAGAAUAAACCACUGAACAGAGGCAAGUUUGUUUAUAAAGGAAUCUUAAUUAUGUACAUCUAAGAUUGCUCGGUAUGUACAACAAAUUUUAAUGAUUAUAAUGUACAAAAUGUUUUUUUUUUUUUUUAACCUAAGAUAAACCAGUAUUCACCUGUCUUUGGGGAAUAUUUCUAAAGUUUAUAGGCAAUGAAUGAGACAGAAUGUCCCAGUUUUCUGAGUUAAAAAGAUCUCAUUUGAGUAAUCAUAGAAGUUUCUAAAUAUUUUGUUAUAGAAGCCAAACCAAAGUCAUUCAUUUGCUUCUUUGAGUAUGUUCUAAUUUCAGUCAUUAAUGAUUCCUUUUCAUAUAAAUAUAGCAUAUUUGCCUAAAUUUAGCCAAAUGUUAUAUUAUACUAUACUGUAUUAUAUUAUAAUACUUAGUCUGGUAUUACAGAUUAACCACAUCCUGUACUUUAUAAUUAUUUUAAAUGCCAUAUAGCAUAAUUUAGAUGGCUUUGUUUUAGUGUCUAGGGUUUGAAAGUACUGUAAGAAGAGAAUAAAGCAGACUUUGACAGCUAGUAGAUGUUAAGGUGUAUUUAUCAAAAUCCUUUGAAAAAAAUCCAUGAUCUAGGAUUUCAUUUUGAUUUCCUCCCUCCCAUUCUUUUACUUUCUAAGGGAUUUUUAAAUAAAUUAUAAAGUAUUUUUCCAUUAAGUAAGUAGAGUGCACUCAGUAAUAAAAAUUUCUGAUGUUUCCUUCUUAGUCUUGAUUAAGGGACACUAACUCCUCCCUGAACAUCUGUUCCUCAGAUAUAUUUAUUCUUUCUUCUUUUACUCACUAAUUUAUUUGAUUAAAUCGGUGUAGUAUUCUAUAGCCAUUCCCAGGUGGCACUAGUGGUAAAGAACCCACCUGCCAAUGCAGGAGACAUAAGAGAUGCGGGUUCGAUUCUUGGUUUGGGAAGAUCCCCUGGAGGAGGGCGUAGCAGCCACAUCCAGUAUUCUUGCUUGGAGAAUCCCAUGGACGCAGGAGCCUGGCAGACAGACUACCAUCCACAAGGUCCCACAGAGUCAGAUAGGACUGAAGCGACUUAGCACUCAUGCACAUGGUUAUUUAUAUCAUUUGGGCUGGGACAUAAUGCAUCAUCUCAGCAUACAAGAGCAUCUCAAAAGGUGCAGGUGAUGCAGCAGUACCUUUCUGGCAGUCACAUCAUAUCUCCAGACAGUCGAAGGCCAGUCCUAGGAACACGCCAGAAGGACUGAAUCUGAUGGUAUGUGAUCCAGAGCCCUCUCUAAAUUGAGGAUAAACAAAAGUGACUAUGCAGGGAAUGGAAGAGCCUGCCUUGGAAAAACUGAGUAAGCAGUUCACAUAUAAAUAAGCCGCGAGGACAGAGCCUUCCUGCCUUUCCCUCAUCACAUCACCGUCAUGACUGAGAUUGCGCCAGUCUUGGUCUUGUGUUUACCCUUACUACGGGCUUGUUUUCAUUCCUUUCUGUUCUUUGUCCUCUUGCCUUCUGAAGUACCUACUACUCGUACCUCCCCAAUGAUUUCUUUCAAGUAACCUUAUGAGCAACCCUGCCACUUUGAUAUGAGUUCUGAGUCUUCCCUCUGCCCCUUCCGUUCCCGGCCCGUGAGCUCACAGUGUUGGCACAGCAGAGGCAGGGGCAGGUGCCUGGAAAGUAGAGACAGGGAGAGAGAAAGAGAGUUCAAAUAAAUACUAAGAAACUACUUCUCCUGAAUACCUACUUUUUGAAAAAAGGAAGAAACCAUAAAAAACCUUCAGGGAAUUUAUUUUAUUAACAGUGAAUUCUAAUCUGUUUCCUGUCCUGCUCUUGUUUAGUACAAGUGCACAAAACAUGCCUAGAAGUCAGUAGAAAAACACCAGAGUGUCUAUACGUUAGGUUAGUCCCUUUAACCAGAAGCUUUGAGAAUUUUCAGAGGUGGGAGCUGAUCCUGGCCACCCACCUGGCUCCAUUCAUAGGCAUUUUGUGUCCCCUGCCGCCCCCAUUUCAGAAGGUAAACCACGUGUCAUAAGACAAAGUAAUACUGGCUUCAGAGACUGGCAGAACUGAAAAGGAUAUUAUUGAUGGUUGAAGGGGUCAAAUUAUGGCACAAAUCUGAACAGUAUUUGGGAACAUAAACUACUGUGAGUUUAAUAACCCCAAACAAGUACAACAUGUAUUUUUAAAAGCAUUUCAUCCUUGUCCAUUUUUUCUGGCCAUUUUCCUUUAUUCAUUUUCUGUGAGGGGGAAACUGAAAUGAAAAAGAAACGAUUAUUACCCCUGUAUUAAGGCACUUAUAUUGAUCAUGAAGAACAUGAGAAGUCAUACUGGGUAGCCAAGCACUUCUUUUAAAGCGUGAAUAAAAGAAAAAGAGAUAGUAAGCAUCAAGAUAUGAAGUAGCGUAUUAUGGGUUGCUAGUUUUGAACUUCAGUGCUUCACCCACUAAAGCCUAAGUAUGUUGUCAAGAAAUAAAGUGAAAUGCUUGGUUCAUUCUAAGUACUUAGGACUUGCAGUUACUAUUGUCACAUUGAGGAUACUCAGGACAUUCUUUUAGUUGUGUUUCCAAUAGUUCAGGAUGGGUUUGUUUUGGUCUAUCCUAUUUUUUGGUGAUAAUUUGUAUGGCAAAGAAAACAGUGAGGUUGAUACCCUUUACUGAGUAUCUCCUAUGUGCUAAGCAUUGGGUGAAGAGUGUAAAGGGGGACUUACCAUCAGCAUUCCAGUUUUAUAGAACGUGCUUGAUAACGUUCUUGUCAGUUCCCAGCAGAGACCAUAGUCUCAUCAGGGCCGAAUGCUCGUUGGCCUUAAGUAAUGUUGCAGUAGUGUUUCAAGGCUUAAAAAGCUUCUUGUUUUACAUUGUUUAUUAGCUGUGAUAGAUAGCCACACAAGGGAAAUGUUCCUUAUUAAAAGAGGGGGUUUUCACAGAGUAAAAAAGUAACUCAGAUUUUCCUAAACUUGAAGCAUUACUUUCAUAUUUGAUGUUAAAGAUUUGUAAGUAAAUAUUUGUAGUUUGCAAUCUACUGUUUAGUCCUCAAGGAUAAAAGAGUGUAAUAUAAAAAAAUUGAAAGCAGUACUCCCUUUUUAAAUGUAUAUAAUCAACAUGUUUCAUGUAUUUCCUGAAUAUUUGUUAUUUUCAGUUGUACUUAAUAUAACUUGCUAUUUCAGUAGGAAGUAAACCUCUUAGCCAGACAGAUUCUGAAGGAUUUCAGUAUUGGGAGUUUGUCACAUCAGUAACUGAAAGAAAAUAAAUCCAGUAUCUCUGAUUGAAGAGGCAAAUUGCAUCAGACUUUGCUUUCAUUAUAAAAAUAAAGUACCAAGUAGAUAGACCGAAGGAGUGGUGUAGUUGCAGGACUGAAAUCAAAAUGGUUCCGAUUACUGAGAGAGCUGUUCAUGUACUUAUUCCUUUCAUGAUCUGCAUGGAGAGAGCAGCAUCUCUCAAAAGACCGGCAUCUAAGUACAAGAAGGUUAAUGGCGCAGAAUACUGCUGACUGCAUGGUUCUCGUCUUAAUGCAUUUUCCAACCUUGAACCCGAGAAUGCCCGAGGCUGGAGUCCCUGGACGCGCGUCUGAGCGGUUAUCUGCUGGUGGCCUGGCUCCUGAGCUAACAAGUGGGUGUCCCAGGCGUGCGUGUGCUAACAGCAGCAACGGUGCCACGUGGCGCCCAGAGGUCACCUCGGUCUGGCCUGGAGAUUGCCGGUCCUCCGUGAAGCUUCUGAGAUGAACCGUGAACUUGGGGCAUCCCGAGGCAGCGCAGGCAUUCUGGAGUUCCCCCAGCAAACCUGGAUGAACGCGUAAACACAGCUUGUAAAGUGAAAGCAGGGGCCUUGAGGAAAGGAAUUACCCUCAUCUCGUUCCCGUUCCCGACCUGCUUACUGUGCUGGAAAACAAAGUUCCAGCACUAGUCUCAGAAGAUCCCCGAGGCCCCUUCACUGCCCCGGCCUGCGUCUCUACCUGUGCUCCUCUGUCUCCCUCAUCUGCUCACCUGCUAACACCUGGGCCUUCUGCAGAGUCCUCUCAGGUGCUGAUCUUCUGAACAAAGGCUCCCUGAGGAUUUCCAUGCCUGGAACUUAUCCGCCAACAGACUGCUGUGACACCUAACGUGUGAUUUCCCAGAUGGGGAGACUGAGGCCUAGAGAGUCAAGUAACUUCCCCCAGUGUUCGGGGAGUGAGGUUCAGCUCCACAAGUCUGCGUUGGACCAGACCACCAAACGCCCCGCAGAAACAGGCAGCUUUGGAGGACGAGCAGUGGGGCUGCAUCUGGAGACAGUGUUCUAGCACCGCCACAAUCCCCUGUGGGAAGGGGCUGCUGGACUUCAAAAAGCCUGCAGCUUCCUUAAGAUUAGUGGGAGAACAAAGCUUUAGAGGAGACCUAACUUAAGUUUAAGGUCACACUGCAGCAGAGUGUAGCUGACGGCCCUGGACCACACCCUACCAGUUACCGAGUUUUCGCCUUCCUCUUGGUCGUUAGGUGCCACUUCUGCUAACAGUGACCAAAGCUGGUUUCAGUGGUGUGUGUAUAUGCUUCUUGGUGAAACCCUGUAGCUCAGAGCCAGUUUAUGUUCAGCGAUCCACGUGGCCCUGUGAAAAUUGACUGUUACAACAUCUAUAAAGCACCGAGCGGCAAAGAAGGAUGACUAAGAGCCUGGGCCUGGAAUCAAGCAAAGUGGAGUCUGAUCCCUGGUCUUCUCAGUCCUAAGCUUUUUGACCAGAGCUAGUCCUGCACCCUCACUAAAUCUCUCUUCCUUCACCUGGGAACUGGAACUAAUACCACGAGCCUUGUAGGUGGUUGUGAACAUGAGAAAAUGCAUAGAAAGCAUGUAGCACAGUGUUUGACCCAGAGUAAGUCUUCCAAAAGUGGAAGCUAUUAUUCAGAGAACCUUUCCAUCCACUUUUCAGUUCAUGUUGGCCUUCCCCCUACAAAGGCACUGCAGUGUCCCAACCAUCUUAAGAAAACAACAUUUGUGUGUAAUGCUUUAAAAAUACAGAUGUUUCCUUAUACUGAAAUCCAGAUGCCUCUAAGAAGCACUGUAGGACAGGAAUCUGUAUCUCCAUUCUCUAGAUCGGCAUAAGGCUCAGCAAAAUUAAAUGAUCGCCCAAGAUCCCACAGCUAGUCGACAGCACAGCCCAGCGCCAGAUCCUGAGCCUCUUAUUCAUCCAUUUCCUGUAAGAAAAUAGUCAUUAAAGGCACGUAAGUCAACAGAGAACCACCUCCCACCAUAGGAUCCAGCACCUUCCAACCGAUAAAAGUUGUAUCUUUAGUCCUAAAUAUCCAGGCUAGGACUCUCACAUCCUGAUAUCUGUUAACAUUUUGAAGCUAUCUUCUCAAGAAGUGUCAUGGUCAGAUACCAUCUCCUUGUGAAAUCCUCAAGCCCCAAGGGACGUUAUCUUAAUCCAGUUAGCUCGUGCAAGAACCAACUGGCAUUUACUUCAAGGAAGACAAGAUGUUUCCGCUGUUCCGCUUUUGCCACACAGGCGUUACCGUGUGGCUCACUGAUUCACAUUUCUGGCUCUAACUUUCCUAUCAGAUCUGGGAGAAAAAAAUACAGAGAAGGGCAACUUGCUCAAAAACAGCAUGAAGGUCAAAGAACCGCAGGCGGGAUUUUGAAAUGGAAACGCAUCCUUGUGGCCCCUGGGCUGAGGCACCAAGGAAGGAUUUUGUUCUCGAAAGGUGGUUACUUGGCUGCUGGAGAUGGAGAGUUUAACAAUGUUAAGUGUGUGUAAGAAAGAUUUGUUAAAAAAUAACAUUCCUUUCAAAUGAUGCAAUACCUUCGCACUGUCAAGGGUUCAAACAGAAAACACCCUCAGUUACAGAAACUCAGCCCUGCCCUCUCCUGGCCUGGAAAUACAGAGCAAUCAGGUGGAUUGUUGGAGGUGGGAGGAUGGGGAGGAGUGGAAACAUGUUGUUUACUGAGCAAAGUCUUUCCCUGCAGUUGACUGUCACUUAAACACUCAUCAAAGUAAGCAGAUACCACGUGCUGUCGUCCUGGAUGCGUCCUGGAAAGAGAAUGAACUGUUAACUUAUCAACUUUGUUUUCCACUUCCCUACUAGUAAACAAUGCGAUUUUUUUUUCCUCUGUGUUAAUUCAAUAGCCAGUCUGCCCACAGACCUCUUUGAAGAAAACCAGCCUCUUGCUUUAGAAGAUUAUACACAGAGGCCUAACUCAAGAUCUCUAGUUCACUGUAUUUUGGUUUAAGUCAUUCUACAGUCACCAACUAAGUACCUCGGUUUGUUGCUUAUUACAAAAUUCAGAGAAGUAUACUACAUGACUAAUGCAUGUGCCGAUUACUCUGUGUUUGCUGGGAAUGCCUCCUCACGUGGAGGGAUAUACAUGGGAAAGGAUAUAUCCACCUUCAUUCUUCUGCUGAAUUUUUUGAAAAAUAUACUUAAAAGGAUAACACAGAAAACUUACCUUAUCUCUGUUUCUGCUAAGGGAACAGAACAGUAUGGUUUGUAAUAUAGUAUGUGUAAUGUAUGUGCAUGAAGUGCCUGGGUGGGUUUGACAUAUAUUUGAUGUAUAAGGUAUGUGUGAUUUUAUUAGGCAUAAGUAACAAGAAGCAGUUCACUCUUCACUUUUCUUCAGGAAAACGUUUUCUCCGUAACUGAAGUGUCAGUCAUUUGAAAACAAAACAAAACUUCUGAUUGGCAGUAUGCAAAAGCUGUAACUAGUCACUUGUAAAACAUAAGCAGACCUUUUUGUUCUGGAUUCUGGGUUUUUUUAAACCAAAAAUGAUGAGAACAGUCUGGCUGCAUCUUGCAUACUUCAGACACUGUUAUUAUCAAUUACAAUAGGAUAUCCAGAAGGAACAAAAUUAGUGACAUAGUUAUUUGAGAGUGCCAGUGAUUACAUGUGUCUUGGCACUUUUUCGGGUUUAAAUGCUUGAAUUGACUCGCCAAUUGAAAUAUUUAACUGCCUGUCACUUCACAAAAUAUGCGCAUUCCUUUGCAGUAACUUUGAUGAAGUGAUUGCUACCCAGCUCUGCAGCCCUAUGGUAUUCUAUUUCCUUAUUUUAAAGAGAUGAGGAAACUAGCCUAGUAGCAGUAGGCACAUACAUGCGGCUUUUCCAUUGUAAAGGAUGAAUCUGUGUUGCAAUCUCCUGAUGAAGGGGUCAGUGGCCAAGCCUGUCAAGGAUAAGAAUGUGAGCUGAACUCUGUUCCCUCCUGGCUUAUUAACGUCCUGCUGAGCCCACCUGGAAUCCUCAACCACAUGCACCUUUAAUUGGAUGUUCUUCCCACACUCAUUUGAUGUAUGAGGCAAGUCAAGAAGAAGAGCUAAGUUUCUGUUAAUUAAUCUUUAAGCAGAGAGAGCAGAGUGAAGUGAGUGGUUACAACCAAGAUUCAAACCCGUUCUCACAAGAUGAUGUUGACAUGAGAAAAGCAAAAAAGGAUGGGGAAAUGUUUUAAGUUAAAAGAAACCAAAGAGUCUUGGUGAGUGAACCUUGACAGGAUUUGGGGUAGAAAAUAACCCAACAAAACCAUAAAAGAAAAAUUUUUGGAGAAAGUGGAAAAAGUUGGAUAUAGGCUAGAUGUUAGGUGAUACUAAGGAAUUGUUCAUUUUCUUAGGUAUGAAUAAAAUAUAAAUAUAUGGAAGGAUGGCCCCAUUUUUCUUUAGACCUGCUCAAAAAGUUAGGAGCACAAUGUCACAAUGGUUGUUGGUUCACUUUCAAAUGAUUCAGCAAAAAGUAUACAUAUGUCAUACAUGUAGAUAAUAUCACUAAAGCAAAAGUAGCAAAAUGAACAGUUAUUGAAUUUGGGUGGAAGAAAUUUAGGAAUUCGUUCACUGUCAUUCAAAUGUAAUGUGUAUCUGAAAUUUUUCAUAACAGUUUUAAAAAAAGAAUGCACAUCUCUUUGGUUGGGUAACCUGGACACAGUAAGUAUCUUCUUGGAUCCCUGGAACCCUAAAGGGAAUGGCAGUAAGCUUCCUAAUAAAUGAUAUGAAGAAUGAUAAUGGGAAGGAAAAAAGAACUGCAGCAAAAAACAAUUUAAGGAGAACCAGGGGUGCAGUGAACAGAGAGGAGCAUAACCUUAAGUAAAGCCAACAGGAAUCCUUAACAAACAGAUGCAAUCUAAGGGAUUCCAUUCUGGAAAAAAACACUUGGCUCUCACUAGCAUCAAUAUAUUAAUUUGCCUCUGAGCUAUUAUGUUGUCUCUUUUAGGCCACCCCAAAUCGUAGUCAUCCUUUGAAUCAAACAAAAUUAUCUUCAGAUGAAAGCAGUAGGUUUAGGAAAGCGUGGUCUGAACUUGUACCAGAGCUCCUGCUUACUUGGUACCAUUUACGUGUAUGUUGUACCACUUUGACUCAUCCUGCGCUGGGCACUCUAAGCCCUGGGUCAGCCCCGGCUGACCUUUUACCUAAGUAGAUGGUUUCCCUUGACCUCCCACUGGGAGUAAAGAAGCUGACCUGUGCCUUGCCUCUGAAUGAUAAAAACUGAGGCUUUGGGCAGCUCAAGAAUAAAAAGAGUCGCAGCCACUGCCCCACACCCCCAUCAGCUCUGGAGACA